UAAAUGUUACAGAGGAGAAACUGUUAAACCGAUGCUGAAUUACAAUGGUGGAAAGCCAAGAGCUGAGACAAAACUAAAAAGUGCAGUCCAGUUGCUAGACCUAUUAGAUGCAACAAGAAUGUUAGUUCCCCGUACAAGACCAGGUCGUGAGAGUGAUAGUGAUCCAGAAGACCUUGAACAUGCUGAGAAGCUUCGCCAAGUUAAAGCAGUUAUUGAAGAGG